GUUUGUUUAAAAAAAAUUAAAAGAUGUUAUAUACUAUAUUGAUAAUUAUAUUAUCUUUAUAACAAUUGUUGGGUUUUAUUCUGGCUCCGAGUGAACGCUGGUAACAUAUUUUAACACAUGCAAAUCSARCGRMAGUUKUUAAAMMSCUUUASYGGUGACCUKGUGAGUAGUAUAASAGSAUCKWRAUGSGAGUUGGGUUAAAUACCUUAUAUUUAARAGAUUUAUAUCGCUUCCAAUAGAACUUUKAAAGGAUUAGGUAGUUGUUGUAGUAAUUAUGCAACAAGCCUACGAUGCUUAGCUGGUUUGAGAGAAUGAUCAGCCACAUUGGGACUGAAAACGGCCCAAGUCUUUGAAAAGGGCAGCAGUGGAGAAUAUUUGACAAUGAGCGAAAGCUUGAUCGAGUAAUGUUACGUGGGUGAUCAGAAGGCUUAAUUGCUGUAAAGCUCGUUUCGUCAAGGAUUAUAAUGCAAUCGUACUUGAAGGAGAAGCCCUGACUAACUUCGUGCCAGCAGUCGCGGUAAUACGGAGAGGGCUAGUGUUAUUCGCAUUGACUGGGUGUAAAGGGUGCGUAGGUGGCUUAUUAAGUUUCAAGAUAAAUCUUAAAUUUAAAAUUUAAAUUUCUUUUAAUACUAAUAGGCUAGAGUUCAUUAGAAGAUAGCUGAACAUUAAGUGUAAAGGUGAAAUUUUCCGAUAUUUAAAGGACAUUCAAUAGGCGAAGGCUGCUAUCUAUUUUAAACUGACACUGAGGCACAAAAGCAUAGGGAUCAAACMGGAUUAGAGACCCUGGUAGUCUAUGCCCUGACCGAUGAAUAUUGAUUAUGUUUGAAAAAAAAAUGUAAUUAAGCUAACGCGUAAAUAUUCCACCUGAGUACUACGACCGCAAGGUUAAAACUCAAAGAAACUGACGGAAGAUUGUAUAAGCGGUGGAGUAUGUGGUUUAAUUUGAUAUAACGCAAAGAAUCUUACCAACUCUUGAAUACAAAUUACUAUGUGUUUUUAUAAAUUAGUUUAUAUAACAACACUAGUAUAAGUGGUUUUAGAAGAAAAACCAUUUAUAAUUUGUACAGGUGCUGCAUGGUUGUCGGCAGUCCGUGUUGUGAAAUGUUUUGUUAAUUCAUUUAACGGACGUAACUUUCGACCUUAUUUGUAAAAAAAUUUUUUUUUUUUUUAAUAGGGUGACGUUAAUUUGAAAAUUAAUUGAAARAAAAGGAAKUCAAAUCAUUAUGGCCUAUAUAGGUUGGGCUACCCCCGUACUACAAGGGUGAUUACAACGGGAACCAAAAACGCAAGUUAUACCUAACCAUUAAAAAUCAAUCCUAGUUCUAAUUACUCUCUGUAAGUCGAGAGUAUGAAGUCGGAAUCCCUAGUAAUCGUAAAAAAAAACGCUGCGGUGAAUACUUUCCCAAUCUUUGUACACCCCGCCCGUCACCCCAUGGGAAUUGGUUUGGUUAAAAAUAAAAUAGGUUAUAAAUUAGUUAUUUUCAAAUUUUUUUUGAGUUUGAUUAUCUAAAAAACUAAUUGGGACAACUAAAUCAAGGACUGGGGUGAAGUCGUAACAAGGUAGCGGUAGGGGAACCUGCUGCUGGAC
rnacentral:rRNA from 1 species